GACGAACGCUGGCGGCGUGCCUAAUACAUGCAAGUAGAACGCUGAAGGAGGAGCUUGCUUCUCCGGAUGAGUUGCGAACGGGUGAGUAACGCGUAGGUAACCUGCCUGGUAGCGGGGGAUAACUAUUGGAAACGAUAGCUAAUACCGCAUAAGAGUAGAUGUUGCAUGACAUUUGCUUAAAAGGUGCAAUUGCAUCACUACCAGAUGGACCUGCGUUGUAUUAGCUAGUUGGUGGGGUAACGGCUCACCAAGGCGACGAUACAUAGCCGACCUGAGAGGGUGAUCGGCCACACUGGGACUGAGACACGGCCCAGACUCCUACGGGAGGCAGCAGUAGGGAAUC
rnacentral:rRNA from 1 species